GCGGGAGUGGCGGAACUGGCAGACGCACUAGACUUAGGAUCUAGCGCCGCGAGGCGUGCAGGUUCGAUUCCUGUCUCCCGCACCA
rnacentral:tRNA from 1 species